CGCGGCAAGACGGAAAGACCCCGUGAACCUUUACUAUAGCUUGACACUGAACAUUGAGCCUUGAUGUGUAGGAUAGGUGGGAGGCUUUGAAGCGUGGACGCCAGUCUGCGUGGAGCCGACCUUGAAAUACCACCCUUUAAUGUUUGAUGUUCUAACGUGGACCCGUUACCCGGGUUGCGGACAGUGUCUGGUGGGUAGUUUGACUGGGGCGGUCUCCUCCUAAAGAGUAACGGAGGAGCACGAAGGUUGGCUAAUCCUGGUCGGACAUCAGGAGGUUAGUGCAAUGGCAUAAGCCAGCUUGACUGCGAGCGUGACGGCGCGAGCAGGUGCGAAAGCAGGUCAUAGUGAUCCGGUGGUUCUGAAUGGAAGGGCCAUCGCUCAACGGAUAAAAGGUACUCCGGGGAUAACAGGCUGAUACCGCCCAAGAGUUCAUAUCGACGGCGGUGUUUGGCACCUCGAUGUCGGCUCAUCACAUCCUGGGGCUGAAGUAGGUCCCAAGGGUAUGGCUGUUCGCCAUUUAAAGUGGUACGCGAGCUGGGUUUAGAACGUCGUGAGACAGUUCGGUCCCUAUCUGCCGUGGGCGCUGGAGAACUGAGGGGGGCUGCUCCUAGUACGAGAGGACCGGAGUGGACGCAUCACUGGUGUUCGGGUUGUCAUGCCAAUGGCACUGCCCGGUAGCUAAAUGCGGAAGAGAUAAGUGCUGAAAGCAUCUAAGCACGAAACUUGCCCCGAGAUGAGUUCUCCCUGAGACUUAGAGUCUCCUGAAGGAACGUUGAAGACGACGACGUUGAUAGGCCGGGUGUGUAAGCGCAGCGAUGCGUUGAGCUAACCGGUACUAAUGAACCGUGAGGCUUAACCUUACAACGCCGAAGCUGUU
rnacentral:rRNA from 1 species